rnacentral:lncRNA from 1 species
CGGUUCCCGCGCGGCGCUCCAAAGCUCGGGGAGUGGUGGUCUCCCUUUCCUGGAGUCAUUUGUGGGAGUUAGGGUCUUAUCCUGAUCUUUCCUCGUCCCCCGCUCCCCCGUCCUCCGAGGUGGCAGCUGCGUAGGACUCUGUUGCCCAGGCUGGAGUGCAGUGGCGUGAUCACAGCUCACUGCAGCCUCUACCUCCCAGUAGCUGGGACUACAGAAGUCUGGAACGUUUUUUCUUAGAGUUCCAGAAUUGAGACUGAAGUGUACCCAGAGACACAAAGAAAUACAGAAGUCCAGAAUGAUCAAAUGAGAUCACUACCCAAUGAAAUGAUGGGCCGAGGAGCCAGAAGUUGUCCUACUACCUGCUUUCCAGGUCCAGAUUCCACGAGAGCCUUCUGGGCUCCCACCAGAGACCCUCAGUGAAGACUCUGUUGAAGACUUUAAGACCAUGCUAGAAAGCCUCCCGGCAGAGGUUCAGGAAGUUCUGCUAUGAGGAUGCAGCUGGCCCCAGGGAUGUCCUCAGGCAUCUCUAGGACCUUGCUGGACGGUGGUGGCUG